AUCCAGAGAACUUAGCAGNGAUGCUUUGGUGCCUUCGGGAACUCUGAGACAGGUGCUGCAUGGCUGUCGUCAGCUCGUGUUGUGAAAUGUUGGGUUAAGUCCCGNAACGAGCGCAACCCUUAUCCUUUGUUGCCAGCGGUUCGGCCGGGAACUCAAAGGAGACUGCCGGUGAUAAACCGGAGGAAGGUGGGGAUGACGUCAAGUCAUCAUGGCCCUUACGGCCAGGGCUACACACGUGCUACAAUGGCGCAUACAAAGAGAAGCGACCUCGCGAGAGCAAGCGGACCUCAUAAAGUGCGUCGUAGUCCGGAUUGGAGUCUGCAACUCGACUCCAUGAAGUCGGAAUCGCUAGUAAUCGUAGAUCAGAAUGCUACGGUGAAUACGUUCCCGGGCCUUGUACACACCGCCCGUCACACCAUGGGAGUGGGUUGCAAAAGAAGUGGGUAGCUUAACCUUCGGGAGGGCGCUUACCACUUUGUGAUUCAUGACUGGGGUGAAGUCGUAACAAGGUAAGCGUAGCGAG
rnacentral:rRNA from 1 species